rnacentral:tRNA from 1 species
AGCGGGGUAGAGCAGAGGUCAGCUUGUCGGGUCCAUAACCCGGAGGUCGGUGGUUCGAAUCCACCCCCCGCUACCA